CCCUCUCAGCUUCCAAGUUCCAACUCCCCCAACCCCUCUCAGUUUUUGAGUCUCUUAUCUCUGUCUCCUCAUUCUCUCAGAGAGAGACAGAGAGAGCCAUUUGUAAUUGAAACCCACCCAGCUCCUCACAUUGUGGUCUCUUUCUUUCUCUAUCUUUCUGGGAUUUUCAUGCGAGUAUCCCAGCAAUGGGAAACAUCAGAACUCCAUUCAAGGGGAUAAUUAAAGAUAUCAAAGGAAGGGCUGCAUGCUAUAAGGAAGACUGGGAACUUUGCUCAGGCAUUAGGAUAUUGGCUCCAACGACCUAUAUCUUCUUUGCUUCUGCUCUCCCAGUUAUUGCCUUUGGGGAACAACUGAGUAGGGAUACAGAUGGAAGCUUAAGCACAGUGGAAACAUUAGCUUCUACUGCUCUUUGUGGAAUCAUCCACUCAAUUAUUGGUGGACAGCCUUUGUUGAUUUUAGGAGUUGCAGAACCCACGGUUAUAAUGUACACUUAUUUGUACAAGUUCUGUAAAGGACGGCCAGAGUUGGGGAGCAAGCUGUAUUUAGCUUGGGCUGGGUGGGUUUGUGUCUGGACAGCACUCCUGCUGUUUCUUCUUGCAAUAUUCAAUGCAUGUUCCAUCAUCACUAGAUUUACAAGGAUAGUGGCGGAACUUUUUGGAAUGUUAAUUGCUGUUCUUUUCAUGCAAGAGGCUGUCAAGGGAUUGAUCAGUGAAUUCAGUAUUCCCAAAGCUGAAAAUACCGCAUUGGAAAAGUACAAAUUCCAGUGGCUGUAUUUAAAUGGGUUACUUGCCAUCCUUUUCUCAUUUGGUCUACUCUUCACUGCACUUAAGAGCAGAAGAGCAAGAUCAUGGAGAUACGGCACAGGGUGGUUGAGAGGAAUCAUUGCAGACUAUGGGGUUCUCCUUAUGGUCUUGUUCUGGUCAGCAUUGGCUUUUGCUGUACCCGGUAAAGUUCCGGAUGGAGUUCCUAGAAGGCUCUUUUGUCCACUUCCCUGGGAAUCUGCAUCAUUGUACCAUUGGACAGUGAUCAAGGAUAUGGGAAAGGUCCCACUUUCGUACAUUUUUGCCGCCUUUGUACCAGCAAUUAUGAUAGCAGGUCUAUACUUCUUUGACCACAGCGUAGCUUCUCAGAUGGCACAACAGAAGGAGUUUAACCUCCAAAAACCUUCUGCAUACCAUUAUGAUAUCUUAUUGCUUGGACUAAUGACUUUGAUUUGUGGGUUGCUUGGACUUCCUCCUUCGAAUGGAGUGCUCCCGCAGUCCCCAAUGCACACUAAGAGUCUGGCAGUUCUCAAGAGGCAGGGGAUCCGAAAGAAGAUGAUGAAGCAUGCCAAGGAAUGUAUCAAACAUCAUGCGACCAACUCUGAAAUCUAUGGAAAGAUGGAAGCUGUAUUCAUGGAAAUGGAAACAGCUCCAACUACCAAAGAGUUGGAAAACUUGAAGGAGGCUGUAAUGAAAGCUGAUGAUGGGGGAGAUGCAAAGGGAAAAUUUGAUCCAGAGAAAUACAUUGAUGCUUAUUUGCCUGUCCGGGUUAAUGAACAAAGAAUGAGCAACUUGUUUCAGUCCCUCCUUGUGGGUGUAUCAAUAUGUGCUAUCUCUGUAAUCAAAAUGGUACCUACCUCAGUUCUUUGGGGAUACUUUGCCUACAUGGCCAUUGAUAGUCUCCCAGGAAAUCAGUUCUGGGAAAGGAUCUUGCUCCUCUUCAUCACUCCCGAACGUCGUUACAAAGUCUUGGAAGGCUCUCAUGCUUCAUUUGUGGAGUCGGUACCAUUCAAGUGCAUUGCUACAUUUACACUCUUCCAAAUUGUAUAUUUUCUGGUCUGUUUCGGUGUGACAUGGAUACCUAUAGCUGGAAUUUUGUUUCCGUUGCCAUUCUUCCUUCUCGUAAGCAUAAGACAACACCUACUUCCCAAGCUGUUCGAGCCUUACUAUCUUCAGGAACUAGAUGCUUCUGAGUACGAGGAAAUUGCUGGUGCCCCACAGCGUACCCGAAGUCUCUCAAUUGUGGUAUGUAUAUUAAUACUCAUGGUUUAUUUAUCUGUGGACCAGCUUACUAAUCCAUUCUGGCUUUGGAAUGAUGAUAAAAUUACUACAAAAUGUUAAUCGAUGAGUUUAAAAUUUAGCAAGCAAUAUGGUAUCUGACAAAAAGUGUGAGCAGGGAAAAGAACUACCUGAUUCUGGUAGCGAGGCUGGGGAGAGUUCAGAAGAAUUCUAUGAUUCUGAGAUUUUGGAUAAGAUAACAACCAAUAGAGGGGAGGUCAAACUUAGAACUGUAAGCUUCAGUGAACUUUCAGGUUUACCCAGAUGAUGUCCGAGUAUAAUGAGAGCUGCUAUUUUGUUGAUAUACUCUGCUCGUACAAUGAUGAUCUUGAGUAUGAUCCUCUGAAGAAGUGACGACAUUUUCUUGUCUUCUUGUUUAGAAACAGCUAAGGACAAAUGAUAUCAUAUCAUAUAAUAUAAGAGAGAGAGAGAGAGAGUGAGUGACCAAAAAAGAAUGGAAAAUAUGUGGAAGAAAUAGAGAGAAGCUAGAAAGUUGGGGAAGCCAUUAGAAUGUAUACUGUGAGAUUUCAUAGCCAUUCAAUUAUACUAGCAAAAUUAUAGCAAAUUUCCCUCUUCUUUAGGUAAUUUGGUUUGCGACUACUAGAUUUUUUAUUGGUUCUUUAUUUAAAUUUUGUUAUUUACUCCCAGUGUGUACAGAGAUAGUUAAGCUAGAAAUCAAAUCAGGUGUUAGAGAAUGUAGCACUAUGCAGUGUGCUCCAAUAUUUUUUAUUUAUUCCUGUGUCAUUUCAAUGUAUCAGACUUGAAACUUGAUAAUAAAUUAAUCUUUGCCAUGAGUGCAGUUAUGGGG